rnacentral:rRNA from 1 species
GACGAACGCUGGCGGCGUGCUUAACACAUGCAAGUCGAACGGUGAAGCGCCUUCCUUUUUGGUGGGUGUGGAUGAGUGGCGAACGGGUGAGUAACACGUGAGUAACCUGCCCCCUUCUUCUGGAUAACCGCAUGAAAGUGUGGCUAAUACGGGAUAUUCUGGGUCUGUCGCAUGAUGGGUCUGGGAAAGAUAUUGUUUCGGUGGGGGAUGGGCUCGCGGCCUAUCAGCUUGUUGGUGGGGUGAUGGCCUACCAAGGCGGUGACGGGUAGCCGGCCUGAGAGGGUGGACGGUCACACUGGGACUGAGACACGGCCCAGACUCCUACGGGAGGCAGCAGUGGGGGAUAUUGCACAAUGGGCGCAAGCCUGAUGCAGCGACGCCGCGUGAGGGAUGGAGGCCUUCGGGUUGUGAACCUCUUUCGCCAGUGAAGCAGGCCUGCCUCGUUUGUGGGUGGGUUGACGGUAGCUGGAUAAGAAGCGCCGGCUAACUACGUG